CGUAAACGCUCACUCUCACCCACCCCCUUCCCCCAACAUCCCGUAAGUGAAAUUCAGAAUUGAAAAGCAAAGCUUGCAAGUUCAAAAAUUAGGGUUCUGGGUCUUGUCGCGCCGUCCGUUGUUCUCGGCGCUUCCGCGGCCUCCUCCUUCCCCCUGUCUCGAACCCAGCCACUCUCUUGUAGCUCGGCACGUCAUCUGGUUGAGGGUUGGAGCUACUUGCCGUCUGUUCGUCGUCGUCGUCCCCCCGGUCGCCGUCGUCUGUUCGUCGCUCUGCUCUUUGUCGGAGUGGUGAAGUGGAGAAGAAGGAAUAACAGUGGUCGUCAUCUGGUGGCCGUUCUGCUUGCCGUUGUCUACUCGCUGUCGCGCUCAACUGCUCAGAUCGAAGGUCGGUGUACAUUGCUAGUGCUUGUUCUUCUUUUUUAUGCUCUAUUCAGAAGUGAGAACGAAGGGUUUAGGAUUUUACUACUGUUAAUGCUAUUGUUGAAUGAUUGACUCUGCUGCUACUGCUGGGCUGUAUUCUAUUUGGUUGUUUUUUUAUGCUGUACUGAAAAAAAUUAUGCUUAAACUUUGAUAAUUUUUUGUUAAUUUAUGUUAAAAUUUUGAUCAAUCUGCUGUCUGCUGAAAAUGUUACUAAUCUUUGUUAAAAUUAUGGUAAGGUGUGAGCUUUUAUUUGUUCAAUGUAAUCACUUUGUUAAAAUGAUACUAAAGCAUGAGCUUUUAUCU